UACGGAGGAUGCAAGCGUUAUCCGGAAUUAUUGGGCGUAAAGCGUCCGCAGGUGGCUGUGUAAGUCUGCUGUCAAAGAGCAAAGCUCAACUUUGUAAAGGCAGUGGAAACUACACGGCUAGAGUGCGUUAGGGGCAGAGGGAAUUCCUGGUGUAGCGGUGAAAUGCGUAGAGAUCAGGAAGAACACCGGUGGCGAAGGCGCUCUGCUAGGCAGCAACUGACACUGAGGGACGAAAGCUAGGGGAGCGAAUGGG
rnacentral:rRNA from 1 species